GCGAACAAGUACCGUGAGGGAAAGYUGAAAAGAACUUUGAAGAGAGAGUUCAAGAGUACGUGAAACCGUUCAGGGGUAAACCUGAGAAAUCCGAAAGAUCGAAUGGGGUGAUUCAACGCUGGCUGCGUCGGCUGCCGUGCGGCGCGCGAUGCGCGAGGGUUCGCUCUCGUCGCACGCGUCCGCUGCGGUAAGACCGAUUACGCCGGUGUGCACUUCUCCCCUAGUAGGACGUCGCGACCCGUUGGGUAUCGGUCUACGGUCCGGCAUGGUCGACUGUCGCGUAUCGUGAAAGCGAGCACACGGCAGACCGUCGGUGACCCGGCCGAUUGCCCGGCGGUAGUUGAUUGCUCUCAUUGAGGUAAUGGGCCGCAUUAAGUGCGUCAAGGCUCGUAGGCAGGCUCGUCUCGCUCGGUUAUCACGGACUAUGCGCCGUUGCCGAGCGCUUGACGCGGCCGUUCGUCUACGAUGUCCUCUGACUGGCUCUUGCGUUCGAACGGACGUACCGGUCGGCGACGCUACUGCUUCGGAUACUUUCAGGACCCGUCUU
rnacentral:rRNA from 1 species